rnacentral:rRNA from 1 species
UAAUACGUAGGGUGCGAGCGUUAAUCGGAAUUACUGGGCGUAAAGGGUGCGCAGGCGGCUCCGCAUGUCGGGCGUGAAAUCCCCGGGCUUAACCUGGGAAUUGCGUCCGAAACUAUGGAGCUGGAGUGUGGCAGAGGGAGGUGGAAUUCCACGUGUAGCGGUGAAAUGCGUAGAGAUGUGGAGGAACACCGAUGGCGAAGGCAGCCUCCUGGGCCAACACUGACGCUCAUGCACGAAAGCGUGGGGAGCAAACAGGAUUAGAUACCCUGGUAGUCCACGCCCUAAACGAUGAUGACUAGUUGUUGGAGGAGUUAAAUCCUUUAGUAACGCAGCUAACGCGCGAAGUCAUCCGCCUGGGGAGUACGGUCGCAAGAUUAAAACUUAAAUGAAUUGACGG